rnacentral:lncRNA from 1 species
CUUAUUCCUCACAUUAGAAAAUGCAUUAGUGGCUGAACCAUUCCACAUAAUCUGAAACGGCGUAAAAGACACACAAUUCAUGAUUACAGUGAUCAAUAAUGGAGGCAAGCCUUCAUAGAAAGUAUCCUCUAAGAAAUCCCAUCUAAUUUUAUUAUAAGCCUUCUCCAAAUCUAUCUUAAGGGUCAUUCCAAGCUUGUUACUUCUAAAUCCUCUCAAAGAGUGUAUAGCUUCCUGAGCUACAACAAUAUUAUCCACAAUACUUCUCCCUGGGACAAAACUAGCUUGAUUUUGUGACGUAACUUUCAC